UACAGAGGUCUCAAGCGUUGUUCGGAUUCAUUGGGCGUAAAGGGUGCGUAGGCGGCGCGGUAAGUCGGGUGUGAAAUCUCGGAGCUUAACUCCGAAACUGCAUUCGAUACUGCCGUGCUUGAGGACUGGAGAGGAGACUGGAAUUUACGGUGUAGCGGUGAAAUGCGUAGAUAUCGUGAGGAAGACCCGUGGCGAAGGCGGAUCUCUGGACGGCUAACUGACGCUGAGGCGCGAAGGCCAGGGGAGCAAACGGG
rnacentral:rRNA from 1 species